rnacentral:rRNA from 1 species
AUUGAACGCUGGCGGCAGGCCUAACACAUGCAAGUCGAGCGGAUGAAGGGAGCUUGCUCCUGGAUUCAGCGGCGGACGGGUGAGUAAUGCCUAGGAAUCUGCCUGGUAGUGGGGGAUAACGUCCGGAAACGGGCGCUAAUACCGCAUACGUCCUGAGGGAGAAAGUGGGGGAUCUUCGGACCUCACGCUAUCAGAUGAGCCUAGGUCGGAUUAGCUAGUUGGUGGGGUAAAGGCCUACCAAGGCGACGAUCCGUAACUGGUCUGAGAGGAUGAUCAGUCACACUGGACCUAGGAACGGGUCAGGAUCCCACGGGGAGGAGGAGGGGGGAAUAUUGGACAAUGGGCGAAAGCCUGAUCCAGCCAUGCCGCGUGUGUGAAGAAGGUCUUCGGAUUGUAAAGCACUUUAAGUUGGGAGGAAGGGCAGUAAGUUAAUACCUUGCUGUUUUGACGUUACCAACAGAAUAAGCACCGGCUAACUUCGUG